rnacentral:rRNA from 1 species
CAGCAGCCGCGGUAAUACGGAGGGUGCAAGCGUUAAUCGGAAUUACUGGGCGUAAAGCGUACGUAGGCGGUUCGUUAAGUCUGUUGUGAAAGCCCCGGGCUCAACCUGGGAAUAGCAAUGGAUACUGGCGAGCUAGAGUGUGUCAGAGGAUGGUGGAAUUCCCGGUGUAGCGGUGAAAUGCGUAGAGAUCGGGAGGAACAUCAGUGGCGAAGGCGGCCAUCUGGGACAACACUGACGCUGAGGCACGAAAGCGUGGGGAGCAAACAGGAUUAGAUACCCCGGUAGUCCCUGUCUCUUAUAC